rnacentral:rRNA from 1 species
UACGGGAGGCAGCAGUGGGGAAUAUUGCACAAUGGGCGCAAGCCUGAUGCAGCCAUGCCGCGUGUAUGAAGAAGGCCUUCGGGUUGUAAAGUACUUUCAGUCGUGAGGAAGGUGUUAAGGUUAAUAACCUUAGCAAUUGACGUUAGCGACAGAAGAAGCGCCGGCUUACUCCGUGCCAGCAGCCGCGGUAAUACGGAGGGUGCGAGCGUUAAUCGGAAUUACUGGGCGUAAAGGGCACGCAGGCGGUUAAUUAAGUUGGAUGUGAAAUCCCCGGGCUUAACCUGGGAAUGGCAUUCAAGACUGGUUAGCUAGAGUCUUGUAGAGGGGGUAGAAUUCCAUGUGUAGCGGUGAAAUGCGUAGAGAUGUGGAGGAAUACCGGUGGCGAAGGCGGCCCCUGGACAAAGACUGACGCUCAUGUGCGAAAGCGUGGGGAGCAAACAGGGAUUAGAUACC